UUCUUCUACCUCAGCCUCCCAAAUAGCUGGGAUUACAGGCACGCGCCAUCAUGCCCAGCUAAAUUUUUGCAUUUUUAAUAGAGAUCGGGUUUUGCCAUGUUGGCCAGACUGGUCUCAAACUCCUGACCUCAGAUGAUCCACCCGCCUCGGCCUCCAAAAGUGCUAGGAUUUACAGGUGUGAGCCACUGUGCCCGGCCCCAGGCUUUAUUUCAAGAAAGCAUUCUUAAGAAGCUAUGAAAUGCCUCUGAAAAUUCCUUGCAACCUUGGAGUAACUUGAUCCGGAGCCUAGACACUUGAUUCUAGUCCUUGAUUUUCUUAUCACUUUCUGUAAACAUUGAAUAAACUACUGACUCUGCAUUGCCUUAGCAAACAGAGUUUGUGUACAUACUGCAUCAUGGGGAGUUAACAAAACCAACUGAAUUCACAGUGGCUGCUAUGAUCAGGACAACUAACGUGGUUGAACUAGAAUGGAUCUUAGGAAGUCACUUUUCUUUUGCCAGUAACACAUGCAUUCUUGUGCAUGAAGCAAUGUAUGGCUGACAGCCAUCAACUGAAUUACUCAACAGCUCCUCUUUGGUGCAAUGCACUGUGUUGGACUCUGAUACCCUGAAUUCUUGAUCCUCAAGGCAUCGCCAGGACAUUGGACUUUAGGAUGCAAGAGAAGAUAAGGAAGACAAGAUCUCAACCACUUUCAGCAAAGCUUUGCGGAGAAUGCAACAUCCUUCAAGACACCAUGAAGCUCCACGCAUCUGGUCAUCUUGUUUCUUCAGGGAAUAAAUUUAUUGUUCUCUGCUUCAGGUGACUGGAGGAGACAAAGUGAUCCCCCAUUUAUGUCUCUGCCUCUACCUUCCCUGCUGCUACCUGCAACUCUCUGGUGUCUUUGGGGGGUUCCAACUCCUUGACGGGGAGGGCGAGUUCCCUGGGCAAUUGGCCAUCAGUGCACCCUGCCUCUAUUGGGAAGAGCUCUUCUACCAGGCUGUUCCAUUCUCACAAGUAAGCCUAAAAGAGAUGGCUCCCUCAGUGGUUUACCUCUGGUCCUAUCAAUCUGAUGAUGAGGCCACUUAGUUCUAAGUAAAGUGACAGAUGACCAAGGACUUUCUUUGAAGAGACAUUGGGUUGGCCAGGCGCGGUGGCUCUUGCUUGUAAUCCCAGCACUUUGGGAGGCCGA
rnacentral:lncRNA from 10 species